rnacentral:lncRNA from 1 species
GAAGGGUUAGGAAUGUGUUCCUCUUGAGGAAGAAAUAGAGAGAUAACAAGGAGAGGGCUUGAUGGCUUUGGAGGCGGCGGGAGAUCUCUAUGCCCUGAAAUGCAGUAUGCCACACCAUUUUCUCCAGACCCCCCACAGAAUCCACUUUGGGGACUUCACUGUUGGUCACUGGCUGGAAGGAGGUGCAAAGAAUGGGCUGGACAGCUCUGAAAGGGAAGCUGAUAACUUGACAGAUGGUGUAAAAACAGAGAAAACUGCAGCUCUGGAAAAGGUCUUGUCUGCCCUCACUGGACUCCUAAAUGAGUACAAGUCAGGCUUGAGGAUUAAGAAAGUACAGGAUUUUUUGCUUCUCAGGCAUGGCAUUGAUCUGCAGGAGUUCUGCG